GGCACAUUUAGGGACUAGCCUCUAAAAGGAGGAUGUCUCCUUUAGCUGCUUUCUGAGAAGGAGUGUCCAUGGCCUAAACCCCUAUCAUCAGUUGGAAAUGUUAGUCAGAAAGAUUAGUGUAGUGGAGAGGUGAUACAGAAGUGGAAUGGCAAAAGGGACAAACAGGAAAGGAAUGUUCAUCUGUCUCUGAGGAUCUAGGCUUACAGGGGAAAACUCCACAAGGGAGGGAUCUCUAAUCAGAGAUCCAAGGAUGGCAGUCAACCCUUAAAUGCAGUCUAAGAAGGUGGAGCCAGGAGCCACCCCUUCCAGUCACACAGAGGGAGCUUCAAGCUGACUACUGAAACCACAAGACCAUUACAGCACUGCAAGGCUACUUAAGGAGACUCAGGAGUCUCCUUAAUUCUUUUCUUAACAACAUUAUAACAAUUAACUUUGUUCAGCACAGCAGAAGUUUCAAGACUAAAAUCAGCACCAAUGAAAGCAAUAGUUCACCUUUGAAUUAAGGAAAUUGCCUUCUGCUCGCUGUUAUCUGUACUGUUAAAAGGCAAGAAGUUGAGAUCAAAAAGGACUUAACUGUUCUGGUCACUGUAUAUAUACAUAAACAAAGACAGGACAAAAUGUAUCAUUACAGUUUCAGUACUGAGGUGAAAUCAAUGUAAUAAGUAGCAGCAGGGAUGUUUCCCACCAUAUCUUGACAAAUGGAAAAGGCAUUCCUUCAAGUUUUUUCUCUCUGUUCACUUUUGCCACCAUCAUAUCAUUUAUAACCAUUUAGCAGUGUGCUCCCAGAGUUAAUUUACAUGAUCUUCGUUUAUGUUUGUCAUGACUCUUACUUAAAGACAUUCCAAAGAAAAUUUUUAUAAACUCUGUACAGGACAUUACUCAUCUUUGUUAUGUGGAGAGUUUACUAGUUUCCAGAUUAAAUGUAAUUUAUCAGAUAAAGACUUUGAUGCUUAGGGUGCCAGCUUCUCAAACUGGUCUGAAGUGAAAGUAUCUUGAGGCUGUGAUACAAAUUGAUUUGAUUAUAUUAAGUAAGAAAAUAUUUAUUAAAAAAAUAAAGAGAGCUGUAUGCUCCUUUUGCAGUGUAACUAUUUCUGGGAAAAGCUUUGUGGUAGUCAUCAAAUAGAACAUAUAAAUCAGUAUUAUUGAAUAGACCAAGUUGUGGCUUGAUUUUGAGCAUGAUCUUGAGGCUUUCUUUUCAAACUGAAUGCUUUGAGACUGAACGGAUUUGUAUUUAUUUUAUUUUUUGUAUUACCAUUUAUCUGUGAAAAAUUAUUUUUUUUCAACAUAUUUGUAUUAUGCAGCAGACAAUAUAUAUACAUUGGAAAUUUUCACUGAUAAAAGUGUACUCUUGAACAGGAUAUAUGCUGUGUGCUAGACCUCAUUGCUGUAAAGUAUAUUUCAAGUUGAUUGAUAUACGUGCAUUUCUUUCUCUAUUC